rnacentral:rRNA from 1 species
UAGGGAAUCUUCGGCAAUGGACGGAANNNUGGACCGAGCAACGCCGCGUGAGUGAAGAAGGUUUUCGGAUCGUAAAGCUCUGUUGUAAGAGAAGAACGAGUGUGAGAGUGGAAAGUUCACACUGUGACGGUAUCUUACCAGAAAGGGACGGCUAACUACGUGCCAGCAGCCGCGGUAAUACGUAGGUCCCGAGCGUUGUCCGGAUUUAUUGGGCGUAAAGCGAGCGCAGGCGGUUAGAUAAGUCUGAAGUUAAAGGCUGUGGCUUAACCAUAGUAGGCUUUGGAAACUGUUUAACUUGAGUGCAAGAGGGGAGAGUGGAAUUCCAUGUGUAGCGGUGAAAUGCGUAGAUAUAUGGAGGAACACCGGUGGCGAAAGCGGCUCUCUGGCUUGUAACUGACGCUGAGGCUCGAAAGCGUGGGGAGCAAACAGGAUUAGAUACCCUGGUAGUCCACGCUGUAAACGAUGAGUGCUAGGUGUUAGACCCUUUCCGGGGUUUAGUGCCGUAGCUAACGCAUUAAGCACUCCGCCUGGGGAGUACGACCGCANGNUG